rnacentral:lncRNA from 7 species
UCUUGCUUGAGAUUCCUGUGUCCCUGAGGCCUUCUGAAGGGAACCUCGUGUUUCAAGCCUUAUGUUACACAACUGCAAUAGGACUUGAGCUACUCUUAAACAAGAGUAAACAUCUAGUUUACGAGAUCCUGAAAUCUCCUUUGCUAGCAGUUUAGAAAGAUCGAUUGGGAAAAUGUGCUUGAGGCAUCCGUCAACUUCAGUCUUGCCAUCAGCUGGAGAAGUCAACUGUAUGGUGUUUCCUUGAAUAAAUUUGCUGGUGUGACUGAAUUCACAAAACACUGACUGAGUCGGAAUGAACUGCUUUUCUUGCUCCAAAAAUAUAACUUACUACAGGAAAUGCAUUUGUGAGCUUUACCUGGUAAGAACACCAAAUCAAGCUUUACUAUAUCAUUUUUUAGCAGAAUGGAAAUGCACUGAGAGCAAUUGUUUGUGCAAGUCUGUACGUGAAUGAGAAGAGUAACAGAUUGCUGUUGCAGUGUUCAAGAAGGUACAAGUCCCUGCUCUUCUCCAAGUAACAUGGAUUACUGCAGUCAAAUUUCCAGAACAUUGAAUUUCUAUGUAGAUAGCUGUGUCAGUGACCUAGAGGUCCUGACUGAAGAAUGAUCCUGUGUUGGAGCAAAGCUUUCUGACAAAAUAACUGAUGGCUUCAUGACAAGAACUGUGGACCACAUGAAAGUUCUGAGGAAAACAGGACUUGCAGCUGGAGCUGCUUCUCUUGUUUCAGUAGGAAGCUGGCUUUACUAGUUUGUUUUGCAAAGAACUUUUUUCCUGCAAGCAGGUGUUCCUCGUGGGCUGCACAUCAAGCACUGGCCCCACAGAUGCAGUAUGCAAGUGAAAAGAACCCUGAAGAGAAUAAAAACAGGAGGGAGCUGUGGCAGAUUUGUGAGAAAGGAAGCACACCUUGAAACAGGGGAUGCCCUGGUGACAAUUCUUGCCAAAUGCACUGCGUGUUUUUUGUCCUACUCUGCCUUUUGUCCCUCUCUCAAGAAUUAGCAAGUAAUAUUGCAUUUUGCUUAAUGAGUCUUCUGCUGACCUAAUUGAGGUAACUGAAAUUAUCUGGAAUAGAUGCCUAUGUGUGUAUUCAAUAAAUUUUGUAAUCCUUUGUGCCUCUGAGUUUGUAACUUGCUUGCUUCCGCUCCUGAGGCAUCCUAUCUCUCAGAUUUAUAUAUACCCUGAAUCAGUGGCUUACCUUGACCUUU